UUAACUUUGAUUUUAUUUUUAUGUUUUUUAAAUAUUGGUGUUUUUGAAUGUGUUGUUUAAAUAACAUAAAAAAUAAAAUAUAUAUUGACAUGUAUUAAACAAAGAUAUAUAUUAUUUUAUGUUGUAUAAAUAAAUUGGCAAAAUAGAGAUGGAAGAUAAAAAUAUGGUCAAAGUAAUAAGAGUC
rnacentral:misc_RNA from 1 species